rnacentral:tRNA from 1 species
GAGGCCCUAGUAAAAAUUACAUGGCUCUGUCAGCGCCAAAUUAUAGGCUAACAACCUAUGGACCUUG